GCUGUGAUGGCCGAGUGGUGUAGGUGUUGGACUAGAAAUCCAAUAGGGGUUCCCUGCGCAGGUUCGAAUCCUGCUCACAGUG
rfam:Callipepla squamata strain Texas jcf7180005228226, whole genome shotgun sequence.